CAGUUUCGAGGUGAGAACGGCCUCCUCACGCGCCGGGCGUUCGAUCGUUCGCUCGGCAAAGUAGCUAGGGCGACUUAGCGAAGAGAUCCGGAAUUGGGCGUCCGGCGAACCGG
rnacentral:ncRNA from 20 species